rnacentral:piRNA from 1 species
UGUAUCCGCGGACCCACCUACUCCCACA